rnacentral:rRNA from 1 species
CGUGAAGAAAAGUUGAAAAGUACUUUGAAGAGUUAACGAGUACGUGAAACCGUUCAGAGGUAAACCUAAGAAACCCAAAAAAUCGAACGGGGAGAUUCAUCGUCAACGAAACUGGCUUCGCGUCGGUGGGCGAUAACCCCGCGGUGUGUCCUAAGCGGCACGCGCGUGCGGGCACGCUACCGAACGCCGAUGUCCGGUUUUCGUCGUCGUGCACUUCUCUCCUAGUAGAACGUCGCGACUCGCUGUGUGUCGGUCACCGACCCGGGUGCGGUUACUGUCACGUCGCCCGUAAAAACGGCGCGCGGCAAACACCCCCGGUCGCCCGACCAGCUGCCCGGCGGUACACGUACGUAUCAGGCCGCACCAACGGUG